ensembl:lncRNA
AUGGAAAACUGAAGCUUUAGGAAAGUCAAGAGUCACACCCAAGACCACACAGGAAGUGAGAGAGCUGCCCCUGCUGGUUCUCCAGCAUGUAUGGAGGAGUACAUCAUGCGAAAUGCCAGGCUGGAUGAAUCCCAAGCUGGAAUCAAGACUGCUGGGAGAAAUACCAACGACCUCAGAUGCCCAGAUGAUACCACUCUAAUGGCAGAGUGAAGAGGAACUAAAGAGCCUCUUGGUGGUUUAGUUGCUAAGUUGUGCUUGACUUUUGCAACCCCAUGGACUAUAACCCA